rnacentral:rRNA from 1 species
UAAAGAAUUUCGGUAUGGGAUGGGGAUGCGUUCCAUUAGUUAGUUGGCGGGGUAACGGCCCACCAAGACAACGAUGGAUAGGGGUUCUGAGAGGAAGGUCCCCCACAUUGGAACUGAGACACGGUCCAAACUCCUACGGGAGGCAGCAGUGAGGAAUAUUGGUCAAUGGACGAGAGUCUGAACCAGCCAAGUAGCGUGAAGGAUGACUGCCCUAUGGGUUGUAAACUUCUUUUAUAUGGGAAUAAAACGUUCCACGUGUGGGAUUUUGUAUGUACCAUAUGAAUAAGGAUCGGCUAACUCCGUGCCAGCAGCCGCGGUAAUACGGAGGAUCCGAGCGUUAUCCGGAUUUAUUGGGUUUAAAGGGAGCGUAGGUGGAUUGUUAAGUCAGUUGUGAAAGUUUGCGGCUCAACCGUAAAAUUGCAGUUGAAACUGGCAGUCUUGAGUACAGUAGAGGUGGGCGGAAUUCGUGGUGUAGCGGUGAAAUGCUUAGAUAUCACGAAGAACUCCGAUUGCGAAGGCAGUUCACUGGACUGCAACUGACACUGAGGCUCGAAAGUGUGGGUAUCAAACAGGAUUAGAUACCCUGGU